GAUGAACGCUGGCGGCGUGCCUAAUACAUGCAAGUCGAGCGAACAGAUGAGGAGCUUGCUCCUCUGACGUUAGCGGCGGACGGGUGAGUAACACGUGGAUAACCUACCUCUAAGACUGGGAUAACUUCGGGAAACCGGAGCUACUACCGGAUAAUAUAUUGAACCUCAUGGUUCAAUAGUGAAAGACGGUUUUGCUGUCACUUAUAGAUGGAUCCGCGCCGCAUUAGCUAGUUGGUAAGGUAACGGCUUACCAAGGCAACGAUGCGUAGCCGACCUGAGAGGGUGAUCGGCCACAAUGGAACUGAGACACGGUCCAGACUCCUACGGGAGGCAGCAGUAGGGAAUCUUCCGCAAUGGGCGAAAGACUGACGGAGCAACGACGCGUGAGUGAUGAAGGUCUUCGGAUCGUAAAACUCUGUUAUUAGGGAAGAACAAAUGUGUAAGUAACUAUGCACGUCUUGACGGUACCUAAUCAGAAAGCCACGGCUAACUACGUG
rnacentral:rRNA from 1 species